GCUGACGUAUUUUGUUUCCUACAUUGUACGCUAAAUUCAUACCAUUUGUUCAGUAUUACCCAUCUAACUCCUGACCUUAUUUACAAGUACCAAGGGCAUAUCUAUGUCUACAAGAAGCUACAUAAUUGACAGGCUGUCAUCCGGAAUCCUGAUCCAAACAAGAAAGAUGACUAGACUUGCGAUAGUCAAUUUCCUGAGCUGAGGUGGCAAGGAAGCAUCCAAAACUGCAACUAUGUUGGAAAGAAAUUAUGUG